GUUCUGUCCAGCAGCAGCAAAGCUGCGCUAGAAAACGUGGAAAAAGCAGCGCUGGUACAGCAAUAAAAAGCCUGGAGAAACGGCCGGUUUUUUACCUUGCAGUAUACCUAGCAGUUUACCACUUGCAACCCACUUACAACUGUACCCACAAUACCUACCUGCUACAACUUACCUGUACCUGUGAAAAUACAAAAAUAAAAGUAAAGAGGAGUUAAAGAAGGAAAACGGUGUGGUCAUUGCAUGAGUGGAACCCAGUUAAACCUCCUAUGGUCUGUACCAAUCCCUUUCAAGCAGGGAAGCUGCACAAACACUAGAUAGCUUGACAGU